CGUCAAGUCCUCAUGGCCUUUAUGACCAGGGCUACACACGUACUACAAUGGCAUGUACAGAGGGCGGCGACACCGCGAGGUGAAGCGAAUCCCUAAAAGCAUGUCCCAGUCCGGAUUGGAGCCUGCAACUCGGCUCCAUGAAGUUGGAAUCGCUAGUAAUCGCGGAUCAGCAUGCCGCGGUGAAUACGUUCCCGGGCCUU
rnacentral:rRNA from 1 species